CGUCCUGUCGGUAAAUCCCACAGUGGUGAGCUGAGAGAACCCCAGAGAGGAGGUCUGUGCUCGAUUCUUCUGUGAAACUUUGUUACUCGUGUCAGUGUCGUGGUGUUUGUGCGGGACUUGACAGCUUCAGUUGAGCAAAGUUUGGAGAUUUUUUCGCGACAACCCACAGUCGAACUCGCAAAGAAUACCCAGACUAACACACAGUAUGUCAGCGUAAAUAGACACAGCUUCCUCCCCGUCUACAAUAUAUGGGUCAGAUGGUCACACAUGUUUACGGAAGAUUGUAAACUCAGCUUGAGGCCUGUGAGCACACGUGUCGCACCUGUUCCGUUGGCGCAAGUGCCUGGCAGAGGUAAGGCACUAAAAUGAGAAUCAAGGGUGGGGAAAAAAAUGCUUUUUAGGGGAAAACGUGAAAUGUUACUUGUAUUUUGCAUUAUGCUUUGGGACAUAA
rnacentral:lncRNA from 1 species